CCUGAUUUAUUUUUUCUGUUGUAAGAGUUUUAUUUUUAAUUUAUAUGUCUGCUGGUUCAUCAUUAACACUUAAGUCAGAUAUGCCUGUCCUCCUGCAGUGAAGGUCCUUAUUCACCCCUGGAAUGAAGCUCCUUUCCUGCAGUUGGACUUCUAAAGAAGCAAGGUGGUGUCCCUGAGCUGUAUUUAACUGGUGGGCAAUUGAGCAGGAGUAAAACAAGGAAAAUAAUGAAAGAACAUGAUUUAUGUUGAUUCACAAACAAGAGAACACAAGCUAUCCCACUGACCUGGCUUAAGCUAAUGAGAUGAACUGGAAAGAGUACUGAAGAACUCGAUUUGGUGCCAUGAAGCUGGGUCCCUAAAGAGGUUUAAUCAGUGAAUAACAUGUUGUGUCCCUGAUGGCAUUAUUCUUCCUAUUUUUUGCUGUCAUAAUACACUGGGAUUUGGAAGGUCUUGUAGCCAGCAGAGAAAGGAAGACAUUAAUAGCGGGAGCUGCGGCAUCUAGCAGCAGGGACUCUAAGGAGUGUAUGUUAGAACUGGGAGGAGGAGAAAGAAAAUUCGGAAAUCUGCAGCUGUGUCUCCAUUGUCUUGACCAAUAUUCCAAUUAUCUACUCGGAUCUGCUGCAGUGGUGAAAGACAAAGACAAAACACGCUUUCAGCCUGUGCUCACUCAGUGGUGGAACAGAAACCUUUGA
rnacentral:lncRNA from 1 species